CCUUUAUUUAGAAGUCUGACGGAGCACGCCGCGUGAGUGAUGAAGGUUUUCGGAUCGUAAAGCUCUGUUGUUAGGGAAGAACAAGUGCCGUUCAAAUAGGGCGGCACCUUGACGGUACCUAACCAGAAAGCCACGGCUAACUACGUGCCAGCAGCCGCGGUAAUACGUAGGUGGCAAGCGUUGUCCGGAAUUAUUGGGCGUAAAGGGCUCGCAGGCGGUUUCUUAAGUCUGAUGUGAAAGCCCCCGGCUCAACCGGGGAGGGUCAUUGGAAACUGGGGAACUUGAGUGCAGAAGAGGAGAGUGGAAUUCCACGUGUAGCGGUGAAAUGCGUAGAGAUGUGGAGGAACACCAGUGGCGAAGGCGACUCUCUGGUCUGUAACUGACGCUGAGGAGCGAAAGCGUGGGGAGCGAACAGGAUUAGAUACCCUGGUAGUCCACGCCGUAAACGAUGAGUGCUAAGUGUUAGGGGGUUUCCGCCCCUUAGUGCUGCAGCUAACGCAUUAAGCACUC
rnacentral:rRNA from 1 species